GAGUUUGAUCCUGGCUCAGGAUGAACGCUGGCGGCGCGCCUAACACAUGCAAGUCGAACGGCACCUGCCUUCGGGCAGAAGCGAGUGGCGAACGGCUGAGUAACACGUGGAGAACCUGCCCCCUCCCCCGGGAUAGCCGCCCGAAAGGACGGGUGAUACCGGAUACCCCCGGGCGCCGCAUGGCGCCCGGGCUAAAGCCCCGACGGGAGGGGAUGGCUCCGCGGCCCAUCAGGUAGACGGCGGGGUAACGGCCCACCGUGGCUUCGACGGGUAGCCGGCCUGAGAGGGCGACCGGCCACAUUGGGACUGAGAUACGGCCCAGACUCCUACGGGAGGCAGCAGUGGGGAAUAUUGCACAAUGGGCGCAAGCCUGAUGCAGCGACGCCGCGUGAGGGAUGGAGGCCUUCGGGUUGUAAACCUCUUUUAUCGGGGAGCAAGCGAGAGUGAGUUUACCCGUUGAAUAAGCACCGGCUAACUACGUGCCAGCCGCCGCGGUAAUUC
rnacentral:rRNA from 1 species